rnacentral:rRNA from 1 species
GACGAACGCUGGCGGCGUGCUUAACACAUGCAAGUCGAACGGAAAGGCCUCUUUCGGGGGGUACUCGAGUGGCGAACGGGUGAGUAACACGUGAGUAACCUGCCCUUGACUUUGGGAUAACUUCAGGAAACUGGGGCUAAUACCGGAUAGGAGCUCCUGCUGCAUGGUGGGGGUUGGAAAGUUUCGGCGGUUGGGGAUGGACUCGCGGCUUAUCAGCUUGUUGGUGGGGUAGUGGCUUACCAAGGCUUUGACGGGUAGCCGGCCUGAGAGGGUGACCGGCCACAUUGGGACUGAGAUACGGCCCAGACUCCUACGGGGGGCAGCAGUGGGGAAUAUUGCACAAUGGGUGGAAGCCUGAUGCAGCAACGCCGGGGGCGGGAUGACGGCCUUCGGGUUGUAAACCGCUUUCGCUCAUGACGAAGCUUUGUGUGACGGUAGUGGGUAAAGAAGCACCGGCUAACUACGUG